rnacentral:misc_RNA from 1 species
AAUUUCAUAUGAUCAAUCUUCGGGGCAGGGUGAAAUUCCCUACCGGCGGUGAUGAGCCAAUGGCUCUAAGCCCGCGAGCUGUCUUUACAGCAGGAUUCGGUGAGAUUCCGGAGCCGACAGUACAGUCUGGAUGGGAGAAGAUGGAGGUUCAUAAGCGUUUUGAAAUUGAAUUUUUCAAACGUUUCUUUGCCUAGCCUAAUUUUCGAAACCCCGCUUUUAUAUAUGAAGCGGUUUUUUUAUUGGCUGGAAAAGAACCUUUCCGUUUUCGAGUAAGAUGUGAUCGAAAAGGAGAGAAUGAAGUGAAAGUA